rnacentral:rRNA from 1 species
CAACCUGCCCUUCAGAGGGGGACAACAGUUGGAAACGACUGCUAAUACCGCAUACGAUCUGACCUCGGCAUCGGGGAUGGAUGAAAGGUGGCCUCUAUUUAUAAGCUAUCACUGAAGGAGGGGAUUGCGUCUGAUUAGCUAGUUGGAGGGGUAACGGCCCACCAAGGCGAUGAUCAGUAGCCGGUCUGAGAGGGUGAUCGGCCACAUUGGGACUGAGACACGGCCCAGACUCCUACGGGAGGCAGCAUG